UACGGAAGGCAGCAGUGGGGAAUAUUGCACAAUGGGCGAAAGCCUGAUGCAGCUAUGCCGCGUGUAUGAAGAAGGCCUUAGGGUUGUAAAGUACUUUCAUCGGGGAGGAAAAACAAAACUAAUAAUUUUAUUUCUUGACGUUACCCGAAAAAGAAGCACCGGCUAACUCCGUGCCAGCAGCCGCGGUAAUACGGAGGGUGCUAGCGUUAAUCAGAAUUACUGGGCGUAAAGAGCACGUAGGUGGUUUUUUUAAGUCAGAUGUGAAAUCCCCUGGGGCUUAACCUAGGAACUGCAUUUUUGAAACUGAAAUACUAGAGUAUCGUAGAGGGAGGUAGAAUUCUAGGUGUAGCGGUAAAAAUGCGUAGAUAUCUGGAGGAAAUACCUGUGGCGGAAAAGCGGCCUCCUAAAACGAAUACUGACACUGAGGGUGCGAAAAGCGUGGGGAGCAAAACAGGGAAUUAAGAUACC
rnacentral:rRNA from 1 species